rnacentral:rRNA from 1 species
CGCUGAGUUUGAUCCUGGCUCAGAUUGAACGCUGGCGGCAUGCUUUACACAUGCAAGUCGAACGGUAACAGGUCUUCGGAUGCUGACGAGUGGCGAACGGGUGAGUAAUGCAUCGGAACGUGCCCAGUCGUGGGGGAUAACGCAGCGAAAGCUGUGCUAAUACCGCAUACGAUCUAUGGAUGAAAGCGGGGGAUCGCAAGACCUCGCGCGAUUGGAGCGGCCGAUAUCAGAUUACGGUAGUUGGUGAGGUUAAAGGCUCACCAAGCCAACGAUCUGUAGC